rnacentral:misc_RNA from 1 species
GUGACAGUGCUCACUGUAUAUGUAUUUCUGUAUGGCCGUCUCUAUCUUGUUCUCAGUGGGCUCGAGGAAGGCUUGGCAGCUGGUAGAAGAUUUAUUCACAACCAACCCCUUCAAGUUGCUCUUGCUUCCCAAUCUUUCGUGCAGCUUGGAUUUCUUAUGGCUCUACCUAUGAUGAUGGAAAUUGGCCUUGAAAAAGGAUUCCGCACUGCACUAAGUGAAUUUAUUCUGAUGCAAUUACAACUAGCUUCUGUAUUCUUCACAUUUUCUCUUGGUACGAAGACCCACUACUACGGGAG